AAAGUUCAUUGCCUCUAACCACUUCAUGGUAUUUCUACAGUAUGUAUCCAUCAUAUUUGAUUAACUCCAUUCCCUUAGUAAUGAACACUUAGGUUGCCUCCAACCAUUACUGUAGUGACCAUCCUCACAUAUGUUCACUUACAGCGUGUACCCGGAAAAGGAAUUACUGGGUCAAUGAUCAUUAUGCUGUCUCAGAAAGAACACUUCAUCAUGAGAUGCCCUUAACACUUAUUUACAAGGCAAAGCUUUUUCAGAGUAUCUAUCUUGGCUCAACCAAGACUCCACAGGUCACUCUCAAGGUAAGUAAGUAAACAACUGAGUCAGAAAUAAUUGGCCAUGAAGGAUAUGUUUUCUAAUUC
rnacentral:lncRNA from 1 species